AUUCAGUGCCGUUGUGUGCAUCUUUGCUGCAUUUUCCUCGUUAGGGAAGGGACUCGUUCGUGUUGGUUUUGCUUUUCAGUCAGCAGGGGUGCAGGUAUUCAGGGUUCAGCCAAAGGAAGAUUCCAAAGGGAGUUUUAGGGAUGGCUGCGGCCGGCUUUCCCAGAGUCGGUUUCUUUAAUUUUGGUUUUGUGCCCUAAACAAUUUGACACUGUUUUUUGACCCAGGAUUUAGCAAGACAAUCCCGAAGUAAAGUUCCUUUGCUGUUAUUGCUGGGAAUGUUUUUGCUCUGUUGCCUGGAAAGGCCGACCUGGAACAGAGACUAGACAGAGUAAAAGGAAUAAAAGAGGUAUUUAUUGAAAGGAUACACUUUGGGGCAGUGCGACAUCCCGGCCAGGACUACACCCAAGUCAGAUUCCACAUGGAUGCCAGUAACAAGUCUUUACACUUUUAUAAGUUUUGGUUCAUCUCCAUAUUGGGGUUUAUUAUCCAGCCACAGCCUCAGGCUAUGAACUCUCAGCCACCUGGCUUGCUCCCUUUCCCUCACCGUUGCUUUUGCUUUUUUGGGUAUCACUUGUCCUUGAUUGUCUAGCUAGAAAGGAAUUGUUUUGUCUAACUAUCCUGUAAAGAGAACUUACUAACACCUAAUAUGAAGUUUCACAGUUACACACUAAGCAGCAGAGAUUCUGAAAAAUACAAAAGCUAAAACUUUUAAAGCUCCAAGGUGUGAGCUCCAAGUCCCUCUGUACCUGAGGACUCAAAGGUGUUCGGGUGUGACAGCAGAUGGGAAACCUGUGAUGUGCAAGUCACCCAGUUGGAAGCGGUGCUGGAGCUUGGAGUGUGAGGGACUGGGACCAGGGAAAAAGGCAUCAAGUGAGUGGUGUGCCCUGGGGACAGGCGGAGCCUGUCCUUACCCGUCUGCCAGGAGCAUCUGAAGGAAAGCAAACACAGAGAUUGAGUGGUGCAGUGAGGAGCAAGUUGCUGGCUUAUGUGAUUUCUGACUGAGCUGCCACAGAAACGGGCAUCUGUGUGUGCACAUGCUUCCUGGCAAAUCCAGAUGUGACGUGGAAAUCCUAGGGGAGGAUUUCCAGCCUUGACCACGCAUGACACAGGCUUGUGAAAAUGGAAAUGGCCUUGGCAGAAGAGCAGCUGUGAAGUGAAGCAGAACUGCAAUACAGUUGUUUCCAGGUGCUGCCCAGGAUGGACAUCUGUGGCCUCAGACAGCGAUUGCCUAGGAGGAAGGGGAGGCUUUGCACAGCUCACCUGCACAGCUCAGGACCGGAGAAACGUUUCCACUCCUCCCGUCUUUGCCAAAAGCUGUGGUGUUUGAGGAGCCAGAGCCAAGAGGCUUCAGCACCAGGGCUCUGCACUGGAGGGCUCCUGGUCCUGACCGCACAGGGUUCCCCUUUUCCUCCCCGCUGGGAUGAAGUGUCUAUGGCAUCUGGGUGAAACUGCAGCUCUGCUGGUAUCCAGGCACGUGAGGUCCGGGGGACUGCAUUUCCCUGUGGCUUUCCAGGUCAGCAGCAGCCAGAGGAAAUGGGGUGCCAGAGCCGUGCCCCAUCAGGCCGUGUUUGCCUCUGAGGAACAGAGAGUCCGGGCUGAGGAGCUGGCAGAAAUGUUGGUUAAGCCUUAGAAGUUGGGUCCAUUGACUGCAGAAACUUGCCGAGGCUGGAGGACUGGGGUGAUGGCUGCUCCCAGGAAAGGUUACUUAUUUAUUGAUACUGUGUCAGAUCUCCCUCAGCGACUGCCAGCCCGGAAUGGCUGGAGAAGAGGACGAACUCCCAGCCAUUCAGGCCUGACAGUCCCCUGCAGCGAGAGCUCAGCACGCAUCCCCAGAGGCAAGUCCAGCAGGAGAAAGAAGGAAAAAAGCUGUUUUUGUAUUCCUUACUUGCGUUCCCAUCGGGGCCGUGUGGCUUGGAGCUCGGGAGCUGGAUCUGUUACUUACCCACAUCAGAUUGGUGUGCACUGGUUCAGGAGGAUGAGGAAAAAAGGCUGCAGAGCUUCCUGCAAGGGGCUGUAAGUGCAAAUAAAGAGGAGCCAGAGGUUUAUUUGAUAUGAAGC